rnacentral:rRNA from 1 species
UACGGAGGGUGCAAGCGUUAUCCGGAUUCACUGGGUUUAAAGGGUGCGUAGGCGGACAGGUAAGUCAGUGGUGAAAUCUCCGAGCUUAACUCGGAAACUGCCUUUGAUACUCUCUGUCUUGAAUAUGGUGGAGGUAAGCGGAAUAUGUCAUGUAGCGGUGAAAUGCUUAGAGAUGACAUAGAACACCUAUUGCGAAGGCAGCUUACUACGCCUAUAUUGACGCUGAGGCACGAAAGCAUGGGGAGCAAACAGG